AUUGAACGCUGGCGGCAUGCUUUACACAUGCAAGUCGAACGGUAACAGGUUAAGCUGACGAGUGGCGAACGGGUGAGUAAUGCAUCGGAACGUGCCCGAUCGUGGGGGAUAACGCAGCGAAAGCUGCGCUAAUACCGCAUACGAUCUGAGGAUGAAAGCGGGGGACCGUAAGGCCUCGCGCGAUCGGAGCGGCCGAUGUCAGAUUAGGUAGUUGGUGGGGUAAAGGCCCACCAAGCCGACGAUCUGUAGCUGGUCUGAGAGGACGACCAGCCACACUGGGACUGAGAGACGGCCCAGACUCCUACGGGAGGCAGCAGUGGGGAAUUGUGGACAAUGGGCGAAGGCCUGAUCCAGCAAUGCCGCGUGCAGGAAGAAGGCCUUCGGGUUGUAAACUGCUUUUGUACGGAGCGAAAAGGUCCUUUCUAAUACAAGGGGCUCAUGACGGUACCGUAAGAGUAAGCACCGGCUAACUACGUGCCAGCAGCCGCCGUAAGAC
rnacentral:rRNA from 1 species